ensembl:miRNA
CAAAAGUAAUUGCGGUUUUUGCCAUUAAAAGCAAUUCAAAAACUGCAAUUACUUUUG